rnacentral:rRNA from 1 species
GUCUUUUUGAUUAUAAUUUAAAGUCUAACCUGCCCACUGAAAUUUUUGAAGGGCCGCGGUAUUUUGACUGUGCAAAGGUAGCAUAAUCAUUAGUCUUUUAAUUGAAGGCUUGUAUGAAUGGUUGGAUGAGGUAUUAACUGUCUCAAUUUAAUAAAUAAUAGAAUUUUAUUUUUAAGUUAAAAAGCUUAAAUGAAGUUAAAAGACGAGAAGACCCUAUAGAUCUUUAUAAUUAAUUUUAUUAUAAUUUUUUAGAUGAAAUUUAUUUUUAUAAAAUUAAUUAUUUUAUUGGGGUGAUGAAAAAAUUUAAAAAACUUUUUUUGUAUAUAAACAAUUAUAUUUGGUUAAUUGAUCCAUUUUUUGUGAUUAUAAGAUUAAGUUACCUUAGGGAUAACAGCGUAAUUUUUUUGGAGAGUUCUUAUCGAUAAAAAAGAUUGCGACCUCGAUGUUGAAUUAAAGGUUAAUUUUAGGUGUAGAAGUUUAAAAUUUUGGUCUGUUCGACCAUUAAAUC